rnacentral:lncRNA from 1 species
GCAGUGAAGCUGCUACUCCAGGUGCUAUAAGGGGGCGGGGAAGAAGGGUAGUAAAGCCCAAAAAUGCAGCGAAUUGGAAACCGGCGCUUCGAGUAAUAUCAGAAGAAAGAGUGAUGUCUGAUAUUGUUGGCAAUGGUAGCGGAGGAACAUCAAAAAAAUGUGCAGCUAUUCCAUCAAAAGAAUGUGGCUCGAUUCUGCAUGGCAAAUGUCUGAUAUUGUUGGUAAUGGUAGCGGAGGAAGAUCAAAAGAACGUACAGCUAUUCCAUCUUCUUGCGCCAAAUCCGCUGCUAAAGUUAAAGCUAAAUCUAUUGCCAGAUCCCAAUUAUCUCC